rnacentral:rRNA from 1 species
UUCUCUAAGACCUAAUUUAGAGUAAUUCCUGCCCAAUGAAUAAUAUUAAAUAGCCGCAGUCAACUGUGCUAAGGUAGCAUAAUCACUAGCCUCUUAAUUAGAGGAUCGUAUGAAAGGAUAAACGAGAUAAAUACUGUCUCAUAAAAACAAGAUAAAUUCACUUAAUAGUAAAAAGGCUAUUAUUUAAAAAAAAGACGACAAGACCCUGAUAAACUUAUUAAUUUAGCUGGGGAGGCUAAUAAAAAAACCUUAAUAAUUUACUUAAAAUAUCUAUUAAAAUAUUUAUAGUUACUACAGGGAUAACAGCGCUACCUACUUCUAGAGUCCUUAUCUAAAAGAAGUCCUACGACCUCGAUGUUGAAUUAUUUUUCCUAAUAAAAGCAAAAUUUUAAAAUGGAGGUCUGUUCGACCUAUAAUUAACU